GGUUUGAGUUGCUGUAGCUGCCAGCUGGCUGUGCAGAGUCUGUUGCACGGCGGCCUCAGGGCCAUACUGUCCAGUGAAGAGGCUGUGCUGCUAGAUUUAAACAGUCUCAAGCUAUUGCUGUGAUUGACCUUCCAUUUUCUGGCCUGAAAGACAUUCAGGGAAAGAGGAAGAGAUGGCAGUUUCUUGGGGCUCAGUGAACUAUGAAGAUGUAACUGUGAUAUUCACUCAAGAGGAGUAGACACUAUUGAAUCCUUCAGAGAAGAAACUCUACAGAGAUGUGAUGUGUGAAAACUUGAGGAACUUUCUUUCACUAGAAAAUGUACAAGAACAUUCCACCAAAGAGCAGCCUAAGUUGCAUGGGAGUAGACAAAGGUGAGAGUUAAAUUUACAAUAAAAUGUGAUGUACCACCCAGAAAGCUACUGUGUUUUCAAAUAUUUUGAUUCUGUGUAAUUUACUGAGAUCUGGUGCCUGCAUGGUUUCCCUGUAGUAGACUUAUGUUUUUUUUUUAAUUGUUUUUGUUCAUUUAUUUCUUCCCUUUUGUUGCCUUUGUUUUAUUGUUGUAGUUAUUGAUGUUGUCAUUGUUGAAUAGGACAGAGAGAAAUGGAGAGAGGAUGAGGAGAGAAAGUUAGACACCUGCAGACUUGCUUCACUGCUUGUAAAGAGACUUUCCUGCAUAUGAAGACCCGGGGACUUUGUGGCACCUUUGCUUAACUUGCUGCGCUACUGCCUGACUCCCAACUUACGGGUUCUUAAUUGUGUGCUCUCUCCUGACUUAAUAAUUGCAUAGCAGCUGUUUUCAUACAAUUUAUUAAGAAAAUAAUAUCUAUAAUAAGAAGAUAAAACUUAUAAACACUGCAACAAAUAGAUUAAUUUUUAACUAAUCUCAUCAAAGAUACUUCAUGACUAGGUUAUAGAAUAUUUGGGCAAGUGACUGAAAUAUGCUGUAUGUGAUGUACAUGACUAGCUCCCAUCUGAGUCUCUGGCAACAGAAGUACCAUACUGAUGUUCUACAUUAUCUGUCUUUUCUCCACUUUAUAGGAAAAUCUUUCUCACAUGUAAAUAGAAAAUAGAAGUCUUUAAAAUGGG